GACCUCGGAUCAGGUAGGGAUACCCGCUGAACUUAAGCAUAUCAAUAAGCGGAGGAA
rnacentral:rRNA from 16 species